rnacentral:lncRNA from 1 species
CAAGAACUUUUAUGAAUGUAUAUAUAUAUUUAAUUAAAAACUAAUUGUCAAUAGUAACAGAUAGGCAAGUGGUCUGUAUUUGUUCUUUUGUUGGGCUCUUUGGUGAAGGCGACUAGUUGGUGGCAAUAGAUUGUGAAUCGCAUAGUUUACAGUUACAUUGAUAAAUCAUUGAUAAUCGUAAAUCAUUGAUGAUAUAAAUCAAUGAUAUUUUUUUAUGAUUUAAAUCAUAUGACAACUUUUGUUGAAUAUAAUAUUUUGACAUUUUUUAGAAUAUUUUGAUAAAAUUUUUAAUAGCAAAUACAUGUAGUCUUUGAUUUACAAUAGGGUUUGAUUUGGAACCCUGCUAUCAUGAGUCAGAAAUGCCCAAAAUUUAUGGAUUGCCUAACUGCCAAAUAUUUAUUAUUAUACUCUGCUUUAUUAUAAUAACUUUAACAAACACAGAAAUACAAGAAUUAGCCACAGAAAGAAUGCUUUUUGUAUAUCAAACCAUUGGUUGGGGCUUCAAACUCUUUACCAAUUACAUUGAUCAGUCACAGAAUUUAAUGACAACACUAUCAUUAAUAUGAGUGGUUGUAGUUAAGGACUACCUGUAUUUAUUAAUGAUAUGUAACUAAGCAUAAUUUCCAUAUAAAUGUGGCAAUUGAUGGGCACACUAACUUCUCUCUCUCACUGGUUUUCUUCAAAUUAAAAUUAAUAAAAAUAGAUGUUACAUUUUAAAUAAGUACAGAAUGAGAAAUAAUUAAUAUUGGUCCUGUUGAUCAGAUCAUUUUGAA